CCAGACUCCUACGGGAGGCAGCAGUGGGGAAUAUUGCACAAUGGGGGAAACCCUGAUGCAGCGACGCCGCGUGAGUGAAGAAGUAUUUCGGUAUGUAAAGCUCUAUCAGCAGGGAAGAAAAUGACGGUACCUGAUUAAGAAGCCCCGGCUAACUACGUGCCAGCAGCCGCGGUAAUACGUAGGGGGCAAGCGUUAUCCGGAUUUACUGGGUGUAAAGGGAGCGUAGACGGUGAUGCAAGUCAGAAGUGAAAGCCCGGGGCUCAACUCCGGGACUGCAUUUGAAACUGUGUAACUAGAGUGCAGGAGAGGUAAGCGGAAUUCCUGGUGUAGCGGUGAAAUGCGUAGAUAUCAGGAGGAACACCAGUGGCGAAGGCGGCUUACUGGACUGUAACUGACGUUGAGGCUCGAAAGCGUGGGGAGCAAACAGGAUUAGAUACCCGGGUAU
rnacentral:rRNA from 1 species